rnacentral:rRNA from 1 species
UACAGAGGAGCCAAGCGUUGUCCGGAUUGACUGGCGUAAAGCGCACGCAGGCGCCUAGUGCGUGGGGUGUGAAAUCUGGCCGCUUAACGGCCAGGCGCCAUCCCAUACGGCUAAGCUGGAGGGCUGCAGAGGUCGAUGGAAUUGCCGGUGUAGUGGUGAAAAUGCGUAGAGAUCGGCAGGAACACCCCAGGGGGAAACCAAG